rnacentral:tRNA from 1 species
GGCUCUAUCGUCUAACGGUUAGGACAAGGCCUUCUCAAGGCUUAAAUCCGGGUUCGAUUCCCGGUAGAGUCACAA